rnacentral:rRNA from 1 species
GACGAACGCUGGCGGCGUGCCUAAUACAUGCAAGUCGAACGCAGUGGGGACGGGUGAGUAACACGUGGGUAACCUCCCAUCAGAGGGGAUAACACUUGGAAACAGGUGCUAAACCGAUACUGAUGGAUGGACCCGCGGUGCAUUAGCUCGUUGGGGAGGUAAAGGCCCACCAAGGCAACGAUGCAUAGCCGGCCUGCGAGCGUGAUCGGCCAAGCUAGGACUGAGACACGGCCCAGACUCCUACGGGGGGCCGCAGUAGGGAAUCUUCGGCAAUGGACGAAAGUCUGACCGAGCAACGCCGCGUGAGUGAAGAAGGUUUUCGGAUCGUGAGACUCUGUUGUUAGAGAAGCGGUAUCUAACCAGAAAGCCACGGCUAACUACGUGCCAGCAGCCGCGGUAAUUC